GAUGAACGCUGGCGGCGUGCCUAAUACAUGCAAGUCGAGCGAACGGACGAGAAGCUUGCUUCUCUGAUGUUAGCGGCGGACGGGUGAGUAACACGUGGAUAACCUACCUAUAAGACUGGGAUAACUUCGGGAAACCGGAGCUAAUACCGGAUAAUAUUUUGAACCGCAUGGUUCAAAAGUGAAAGACGGUCUUGCUGACACUUAUAGAUGGAUCCGCGCUGCAUUAGCUAGUUGGUAAGGUAACGGCUUACCAAGGCAACGAUGCAUAGCCGACCUGAGAGGGUGAUCAGCCACACUGGAACUGAGACACGGUCCAGACUCCUACGGGAGGCAGCAGUAGGGAAUCUUCCGCAAUGGGCGAAAGCCUGACGGAGCAACGCCGCGUGAGUGAUGAAGGUCUUCGGAUCGUAAAACUCUGUUAUUAGGGAAGAACAUAUGUGUAAGUAACUGUGCACAUCUUGACGUUACCUAAUCAGAAAGCCACGGCUAACUACGUG
rnacentral:rRNA from 1 species